rnacentral:rRNA from 1 species
UUAAAGAGUGCGUAACAGCUCACUAGUCGAGCGAUUCUGCAUGGAUAAUAAUCGGGCAUAAACAUACUACCGAAGCUAUGGACUUGAAAAAGUGGUAGGGGAGCAUUGUAGUGGCGUUGAAGGUGUACUGCGAGGUAUGCUGGAGCAGCUACAAAAGAAAAUGUAGGCAUAAGUAACGAUAAUGCGGGCGAGAAACCCGCACUCCGAAAGACUAAGGUUUCCUCAGCUAUGCUAAUCAGCUGAGGGUUAGUCGGGACCUAACGCGAACCCGAAAGGGGUAGUGGAUGGACAACAGGUUAAUAUUCCUGUACCUGCUCAUACUAAAAGUGACGGAGGCGAAUAGUUAGUGCGUGCUGACGGAAUAGCACGUUGAAGCCAGUGGUAACACGGCGAUAGUACACUAAGGCUACGGCUGCGGUGAUAAUCUAGCGAAUCGACUUCCAAGAAAAGCGAAUGAAGCAGCCCGUACCCUAAACCGACACAGGUAGUUGGGAUGAGAAUUCUAAGGAGCUCGAGAGAUUCAUGGCUAAGGAACUAGGCAAAAUCGACCCGUAACUUCGGGAGAAGGGUCGCCAGCGUAAGCUGGCCGCAGUGAAAAGGUCCAGGCGACUGUUUAUCAAAAACACAGGGCUAUGCUAAAUCGAAAGAUGACGUAUAUGGCCUGACACCUGCCCGGUGCUGGAAGGUUAAGUGGUGGGCUUAGAGGUUUACCUCGAAGGUCUAAAAUGAAGCCCCAGUAAACGGCGGCCGUAACUCUGACGGUCCAAAGGUAGCGAAAUUCUUUGCCACCUAAUUAGUGGCCUGCAUGAAUCGCGUAAUGACUUCUUUACUGUCUCUUACACAGACUCAGUGAAAUUGAAAUAUCCGUGAAGAUGCGGAUUACUCACAGCUAGACGGAAAGACCCUGUACACCUUUACUGCAUUUAUUGAUUG